CAUACUAAGGUCAGGUUUAUAUGGACCUAUCAUGCUGGUUCAGCGAAGUCCCAUCGCUUUAAUGCCCCACUAGAUCACAAACCACCGGUGAUCUGGUCCUUCACUCUAAUCACCACUAGCUUAAUCAUUAGCAUAGCUUGUUAGAAGAUCAAAGAAAACCAAAAGGGAAUGCUUCGGUGAACCAAACCUUAAUCAUUUUUCCCUAAAGGAUCCUUAAAUACUGUCGUGGUUUUUUUUUUUUUUGUUUAAUGCGAACGCUUUAUAGAGAAAAAAUGACAAGGCCGGUGUGGUAGCCCAAAUACGUAGCGAAUAACCAUCUGUCCACUUUUAUCUGUAAUGCUCCGCCUUUGGAAAGAAAGCAACCGGCUCCUGCACUGCAGAAUCCUCUACUCGUUCAAAAAAAGAGAACAGGCAUAAACAACUGCAAACACUGGCAUAGAGUUAGCAGACAGGGCAGUUGGGUUUUUGUUAUCUUUAAUCUGCAUAUUGAUCUCCACUUAAUAUACUUUCUGGGCUAUCCGUGGGCAUUUUUUAAGCUUCCUUCCCUCCACCACCUCGGUCUUUUCCUCGGGCGUUUGUGUGCGUGUGUGCCUGUAUAUUUAGGCAGCUUACAUAACGUUGAGACUGAUUCCGUUUUUCCAAUAUGAUCGAAGACAGGCUCUGUCCACACUCUUUUUAAUUACAUUUGUCUUCUUCUAAAAACAUAUCACAUGUUUUUGUUGGUUUUGACUUUUCUGCUCUAAUAUCAAAAGAAAAUUCAAACCUA